AGCAGCUGACAGACAACUAAGGCGACGACAAUCCUCUCCCCAACGGGUUUGUCAGUAUUAUUGCACAACGGAAAAGUGCAUUCCUGUCUGCGUUAACCCUUCUUGUGUUACAGUCAUGAUCUAGUCCACUACGGAUGAAGCUGCAUCUCCUGCAUCCUUGGAUUCCUGCAGGGAUUGAUCGAUAUUGUGUUUAGUGAGACUAGUAUACAGGGAAAUCUGUAGCGAGUAGAUGAUGAGGGACAAUCACUGUUGACGGAUGUGACUGUAUGAUAAUUUUUCUGUCUUUGAGGGAUGCUCACAGUGAACUGUGAGCAAGGAGGGAAUUGUUAGGGAUUUAAGCCAGAAGUGCACCCCUAGUCAUAGAAUUGUAGUACGUGUAAUGAUGUUUAGUGAUAGAAUUAUAGUUUGUGUGUUAUUAGAUAUUAGUUAUUACGUUAACAUGUUAGAUGAAGUGAAUGCAAUUUCAAUCAAACACAAUUCAUAGUCAUUUAAAUCAUAUAAACACUGUAACAUUAACAUUCUGUCAUGAUGUGAUGUUAAAACCUGGGGACGGAUGCCAAUUGCCGUUCUUUAUGGAUUUCUCCCAAUUUUAUCCCCAAAAAGGGUUUUUUGGGAGUUUUUUCUCCUGUCAGGUAAUAAAUGAACAACUUAUUUCAAGGCAGCCGACUGAGGCAAAUGUCUUGAGAAUUGAACCACAUGAACUGUUUUAGAUCUUAUGAUGAAGUGUGAUGAACGGUGAUCAUUAGUGAUGGGUUGUUGUAAUGAAAGUGUACUAGUUAUAAGAUGAAGACUUAAACGAUGUAUGCUUUGUUGGGUUCACUCAUUGAGGCAUAAAGCCACUGUAUCUACAUUGAGUGCAUUGGAAUGUGAGGGACAGCUAGGACAGAGAGGUUUCAGGUUACAGCUGCAGCUUCACACCUCGACGUGAAGGGGACAAUGGAGGAGGUGACCCUUUGGAGAAGAGGCCAAUGACAUUCAAAUGCACCAAAGAAGACACACCUCAAGAGUUUUCAAAGGACC
ensembl:lncRNA